rnacentral:rRNA from 1 species
GACGAACGCUGGCGGCGUGCUUAACACAUGCAAGUCGAACGGAAAGGCCCUGCUUUUGUGGGGUGCUCGAGUGGCGAACGGGUGUGUAUCACGUGAGUAACCUGCCCUUGACUUUGGGAUAACUUCAGGGAACUGGGGCUCAUACCGGGUAGGAUCUCCUGCUGCAUGUUGGGGGUUGGAAAGUUUCGGCUGUUGUGGAUGGACUCGCGGCUUAUCAGCUUGUUUGUGGGGUAGUGGCUUACCAAGGCUUUGACGGGUAGCCGGCCUGGGAGGGUGACCGGCCACAUGGGGACUGCGAUACGGAGCAGACGCCUACCGGAGGCAGAAGUGGGGAACAUUGCAGAACGGGCGGAAGCCUGAUGCAGCAACGCCGCGUGCGGGAUGACGGCCUUCGGGUUGUAAACCGCUUUCGCCUGUGACGAAGCGUGAGUGACGGUAAUGGGUAAAGAAGCACCGGCUAACUACGUG